rnacentral:rRNA from 1 species
AUUGAACGCUGGCGGCAGGCUUAACACAUGCCAGUCGAGCGAGCGGCGGACGGGUGAGUAAUGUCUGGGAAACUGCCUGAUGGAGGGUGAUAACUACUGGAAACGGUAGCUAAUACCGCAUACCCUCAGAUGUGCCCAGAUGGGAUUAGCUAGUAGGUGGGGUAAUGGCUCACCUAGGCGACGAUCCCUAGCUGGUCUGAGCGGAUGACCAGCAACACGGGAACGGAGACACGGUCCAGACUCCUACGGGAGGCAGCAGUGGGGAAUAUGGCACAAUGGGCGCAAGCCUGAUGCAGACAUGCCGCGUGUGUGAAGAAGGCCUUCGGGUUGUAAAGCACUUGCAGCGAGGAGGCGUUACUCGCAGAAGAAGCACCGGCUAACUCCGUGCCAGCAGCCGCGGUAAUUC